rnacentral:lncRNA from 1 species
CAAGCCUCCCCUGGAUUGAGUCCUGGAGUGGUCUCAGGACUUCCUUGCUCCCAAACAGGAAGCAGGUGGCUAUGGUGCAUUUCCUGUCCUUGUUCUCUCUGUGGGAACCAAGGAUGAGGCAUUGGCCCAAAAGCAGGACGUUCCUGAGGACGGAGCUUGCUGAACACUGGCCCUCUGGUGACCCCCAGGUUUGCAGAAGCUGAUGGACCCAGGGCCCACCUGGAGCCUCCCAGAAGGAGAGGAGUCAUGGGCUCAACCUGAGAGCUGGAUUCAGCGUGUUUUCCUGAGUCUGAUGCUUGGUCAUGUUGGCCGCUGGGCAAGCGGUCCGGGGUUCCCUGGGCUGGCCGCCGUGGACAAUGUCUCCUGAAUGCACACGGUGAAACUGACCCACAUGCUUUGGGAGGAGACAGAGUGGCUUGGAAACUGGGUUAGGAAUCACCAUCUCCCUGGCAACCAAGCCCACCCAGCACGGGAGAGCGCAGUCUUUGCUCUCGGAGGAGCGGACCCAGGAGGAGAGGGCCCAGAACCGCACGCCCCAGGGGUUGGCACCAGACUCCUAGGACAUUACUCUUCAGACACCUGGCAUCUGAUCCCUCACAGCAUGCCCAAGUCAAGCCUGACCCACGCGUGUUCUCUUUUACUACGUAACAAAUUACCCCAAAAUUUAGGGGCAUAAAACACGGUUUAUGCUCUCCCGGAGUCCACGGGCCAGAAUUCCAGGUGCGGCCUCGCUGGGGCCCCUCAGGAGGUUGCUGUCAGCUCUGGUCGAGGGCUGUGGUCUCAUCCGAGGGGCACCUGGGUGGGGCGGUCAGCAUCCAAGCUCCCUUGUGUGGUCCUUGGCAAGCCUCGCUCCCCCAGCAGGGCAGCUGGCUUCCCCAGGAUGAGCG